GGGGAGACUUGUUCCAAGUAUUCAAUUUGUUUUUCACGGUAAUAUUUUGAAUUUAUGGUUUCUUGGUGUACUACAAUGAACAGAGUGAUACAAGUGGAUUUAGUAGCAGAAGACAAGAUCCUCUAGAAAUUUGUCAAGUCUGCAUCUCAAGGUGUGCUAAAGAAGUUCCUUAUAUCAGCAGGUUCCUUAUAUAACCUGUAGGUUGUGGGAAAUAGCAGGGAAGUCAUUUUCUGCGUGGAGGCCAUCACAACCUGAGGAACCGUAUUAAAGGGCUGCAGCGUUAGGAAGGCAGAGAGGCACUACUGCCUUAUGUGGUGGGUAUGCAUGGUCAACUCUGCCUGUCAAUUAAGUGGACGUUAGAGGUUUUGUUUAUACUCAAUUAACAUGUUACUGUGUAGCAAAUGGCUACAUUCCACAUAGUCAAUAGUAUUUUCCCUUUUAAAAUUUCAGACAGUCCAUAACAUUCCUUGGGUAAUGCUAACAACCUGAGUCCUUGAUGUUAAUUGCUAAUGUGCGCUCUGGAGUCAGAACUGUGUGUCUCUUCUAGCUCACUGUAUAAUCUUCAUCACAUUCACUUCUACCGCCUCCCACCUCAAGUACGUAGUGAUUGGCGCUCGGUAGAACUAAGUCCCUAACUUUAUCGUGGUGAGCUUACAGCUGCUGAGAUGUUGGUCAGUUGCAAUCUGUACAACAGAGGUAAGAAAGGAAGUGUGCAGUGGCCUAGUGCUGGGCUUUCUAUCCAUGCAUAACCCCCGACCUGGGAAAGUUCAGGAGCAUUUAGUAACCUCUUGAUAUCUAGCUGUCCGGGAAAACAUGCAGCCUACGAAGGGAUAUAGGACAUACGUGUAGUUUAUUUCUUGAUGCCGUCAUCUGCUGUUAGAACUACUUUACUAUCUGUCUGAGGAGUGGUGUGGUUAGAGUAAGCGUUCCUGGAUUACAGGGUUUUACAUGGCGUUGCCUGCUGAAGCCAACAGUGUGGUCGCAGAGGGUGAGUGCUUCUGCCUUGGACUCAAAGAUGUGCAACUUGGGACCUGACCCCAGUUAUACAAAUACGGGGUGUCUGGUGCCUCUUUGGAAGUCUUUCAAAUGUGACCUUUGUAUAGAAGUAAUUAAAUCAUAUUCCCACACGCUACAAACAUAAAGUAUCCCAGUUUUGUCUAUUUUAAGUACUGUUUUAGGUUACAGAACUUGUUAAAGACAAACUUCAAUUAUCAAUAAAUCAAUUAUUUAAAUAUACUGUGUUUCAAUUCAUAUGUAAACACUUUAGAUUAUGUCUGUGCUUGAGUGGGAACUAUUAUUAGUGUAAAACUUGAUCUACAAACAAAAUGUCAACCAAUUUGAUAUUUUUUAAGUCAAAAUGGGAGGAAUGUGCUUUCUCACCCUUUUGUUAUCAUUUUACAAAUUUUGCCAUUAACCUUUGGAUUGCCGUGACUUUGGACCUUAUUAUGUACACAUAAACGGUCCUGUUAUCUUCAAAUGAUGGUCUACAGGUAGCUGAAGUAGAAUGAAGCCGUGACUAGGACUGGACAGUGUGGCGGGGGAAUCAGGUGCCUUCCUUUGGUGGUGUGAACAGUUCAUUGUCGGCCUGUGUAAAUCAAAAAACAGAAGUGACAGCUGCUGGAAGAAAAGAGAUGUUGGCUGUGUUAACUGCAGUGGUCUUUGGCCUGCUCCCAGCGGGAGGUAAUGGAGGUAUCGGUGACAGCUGAUAUUCGGGCCUUCCACACAGAGACCCUGUUCUGUGUCCUUUCCAGAUAUAACUCCCUCAGUCUGCACAGCUACUCAAGCACAUAGCUGUUAGCACCUUUGUUGUAUGGAUGAGUGAAGUGGUUCACAGAGGACUUUAGUUUCUUACACAAGGUAUGCAGAUAGUUAAAAAGGUGAGUCCCGCUUGAAAGUGUGUUCAAGUAUGUGCUCCCAGCCUUGCUGGUAACUAAUUUACAUCGAGGUAUUAUAAGGGAUUAUAACUUAAUUGUUGGGGGAAAAUGGGCUCAAAGGAGGCUGGCUAUCAUGCCUGACAACCUGCAUUUCAUCCCUAAGACCCACGUGGUAAAGGGAGAGAACAGACACAGGCCCAUCUCAUACACAACACCGACAAACCAAGUGGGCCGGGGAAACCAACAACAGUUAUUCCUGAGCUGUGUGACUCUGGACGCUGCCUGUCUUCCUGCCUCCAGUGUCUUCACAAUGGGCGUUUUAGUAAAUAGUACCUUGGCUUGAGUUACCCUGAAAACGAAAUAAGUUAACAUACACAAUGUGCUGGGAACAGCAGCUGCCGCAUAGUGAGCAUGCAAAUGUGAGCUGCUGUUGUUGCUUUUGGACAUUUUCAAAGGGAGAGGCCAAUCAUUUAGAGAAAGCCGGGCGGGUGGAACAAAGGCGCCGAUUCAGCUCCUGCUUCUUCACAGAGGUGCUGUGAGUUAAGAGCGGCCACCCUGUUGGGCUGUCACACACUUAUGCUGAUGAGCCUUGACACAUCGGGCGCUGUCAAGUAAUUACUGGCUUGAUGUGACUUCUGAGGCUGGGAUAGUAAAGGGGUGGACCGAGAAAGCACCCUAUGUUUCUGCUUGUCACCCAGUGAAAAGGAAGUGAUUUAGUGGACUGAACACUGUCAUUUCUCUGUCCAAUGAGGGGGAAAAAAUCUGCAGGUAGACUUGAGAAACUAAUGUAUAUGUGCAAUGAAUGAUUUAAAAUUUCAUUUAUCUUGAAUCAAUGAUAAAUCCUUGUGGUUUGAGCAUAUUAUGUAAACAAGAAAUUUAGUUGUUUAAGCAAUUAACAUUUACAUUUAUACAUUUACCUGGGCUUUGUGUGUGUUUGUUUGUUUGCUUGUUUGUUUCGUGAGACAGAGUCUUACUUUGUAUCCCAAGCUGGCCUCAAGCUUGGAGCAAUUCUCCUGCCUCUGCUUCUGGAGUGCCAGCUGCACAGGUGCACACCACAUCUGAGUUUGUUUACUCUUUGGUCCCUCAUAUUUUUUUUUUAAGAUUUAUUUUUUAUUUAUUAUAUGUAACUACACUAUAGCUGUCUUCACUUUUUCUUCUCUCUCUAGCCCGAAGAUUUAUUUAUUUAUUUAUUUAUUUAUUAUAUGUAAGUACACUGUAGCUGUCUUCAGACACCCCAGAAGAGAGAACAUCAGAUCUCAUUACAGGUAGUUGUGAGCCACCAUGUGGAUGCUGGGAUUUGAACUCAGAACCUUCAAAAGAGCUGAGCCAUCUCUGCAGCCCUGGUCCCUCAUCUUUGGAUCUGAUCAUGGCAGUGUCUUUCUUCCUUCCUUUUGAAGCUGAGACCUUUUUGAAGUGAGAACCCUAAGCUAAGUGUGACUUACUCCUGGUGUUAGAUGUAUGUAUGGUAAGAGGGACGUCAUCAUACCCGGCUCUGUUCUCUCUCGGAUGGGUUAAGAGGGGAUGGGUCAGAAUUGAGCCCCGUAUGCCAAUUCACACAUCUCUUAGCCCUCAGAAGGCUGAGAUAGGAGGUUGUCACAAAUUCAAGGCCAGGCUACAGAAUUAGUUCCAAGCCAGUCUGGACUUGAGAGUAAGACAUUAUGUCCAAAGGAACAAAAGCAAAUGACAAAAUCAGGGUAGUUCCGUGAUUAUAUCUGAGGUUCCUGGUGAGCUGACUGGGUAAAGACUCCAUUUUUAACCCAAACCUUAGUCCCACAGCCACAUGAGAUGCCUAAAGUCCAGGGUGGGGGAAGCUUCUUUCACAUAGAAGGUGCUCAUCAGAAACAAUACAAGCCUAGAUCACGGCUUCCUUUUCUUCACACCCAGUGCCAGUGGCCACCUUGUUGGAUUUCAGUUAUCACUCGGGGUCUUAGAUGCACUCUUCCUUUUAUCCAACAAGCCCUCUCCCCAGAACCCCAUGGUGCUCCUUGUGUUUCUCUUUGUAGACUGGGACGUCUCUUGCGGUUUUCUUUCGGAGAGGUUUCUUCCCUGAUUACCCUAGCGCUCUCAACUCUCUUUGGCUGUUUCUGUUGAUAUACCUGUUAAACUAGACAUCUCUCUUGCUAUUCUGUGCUAGCACUCUGCCUUCCUUUGAUAGCAUUUACCAAACUUUGUAAUUAGUUAUCUUUUUUUUUCUUUGUUUGCUAUGUGUCGAUACAUGAGGCCUCAGCUGUGUUCCCUGGUUUAUCAGUUUUGUAGAUGGUAGGUGUGUUGUAGGUGCAUAUCCUGUACUUGAUAUACAUCUGUUGAGUGAAUGAACGAACAAAUGCAUGAAUGAAUGAAUGAAUGAAUGAAUGAAUGAAUGAAUGAAUAGCUAGUACACAUCAAUGGGAAAGAAAUGGAAGCAAGAGAAGGUAGUUGUCAUUAACAUUAAGUAAAAUUCUCUCAAUUUAGGUAUUUGAUUAUGACUUCUAGGCUAUUAUCACAACUUUGUACCUGAUUUUUUUUUUCAAAUCCAUUUAAAAACAUUUUCACAUUCCAAGAUUGGGGAAGGGAGGCAGUGUCUCAUGUCCCUCCUAAAGACUGGGAUUGCAGGAUAUGCCGUUGUGCACAGUUUUAUGCAGUGCUAGAGAUCAGACCCAGGGCUUCUACCAAUUGGAUUACAUCCUCAGCCCAGCAUUUUCCUAUUUGAAGAAUGUGUGUGUGUGUGUGUGUGUGUGUGUGUGUGUGUAUCUUCUGUACAUACAUAUUUGUGUAUGUUGUAAAGUCUAGUUAGAAAUAAAACACUAUACAAUAAGACGUAGGCAAAAACUGCUUGGUGUCAGUGGUCUCCAGGUUAUAGGAUUAACAAGUCCUCCACAGACAGAUACUUGGAGGAACCUCUGAUCACCAACCCCAGGCUUGGUUUGUUCCUGUUGCUCUUUGAGGAGGGAGGGGCGUAACUGGCAGGCUUCCCAUUUGCAAGCACAAGAAGACAAGGGAGCAGGAUGGAAGAGUAAGAAGAAUCAAAGGAUGGAGAAUUGAGAUUAGGAGGUGGUCAGUCACUUACUGGGUUUUGUGACUUGGGUCAAGUCCCAAACCUGUUUUCUCAUCAAGAAAAUGUGCUUGGCCCAGUCCCUGUUCUGAGCUCAGGUGAGAGGAUGUGACAGCAGGUUCUGUAAAGCUGUGGAAUGCUAUAAACACUCGGGGUUUACCCUGAGGGUAGGACUGUUCCUGAGUAGGAGCUGAGGGCCCAGUGUUCCCCAUCGGUCAGGUGCUUCACAGCUGGGGCCACUCUCCUAAGAGCAAUUGACACAUUUUAGAAAAUGAAUUACUCCCCAUUCCCUGGCUCAAGUUAUAAGAGUACAGAGUCAUUUGGGGUGAUAAAUGCAUCCUUAGUUUUAUUUUUUUCUUUAUUUUUAAAGUUUAAAUGUCUUAUUUAGCCACCCAGGCUGGCCUUGAACUAUCUUUACAACCUUUACAGGUAGGACUUGGCCUUUGCCUCAGCCUCAAAGUAGCUAGAGAGAAUGGGCCUGCACCACAGGCCCCCCUUGGUUAGACAGUUCUCCAGGAGUGUUAAACUAUGGCCUGCAUUUACUCAGGUCAGUGGGACCUCCUCUUAGCUGUGGAAUAUCAUGUAACAGGAGGUAAGGACCUGAGAUUUUCAUGAUCAAACCUAGAUUGAGAUUCUAAAGUCAAGGGCUGGAGAGAGAUAGCUCAGUGGUCAAGAGCGGUCGUUAUAGAGGGCCUGGGUUCAAUUCUCAGCACCUACAUGGUGACUCGACUGCCAGUAACCGCCAGGCACUCACAUGGUGUGUGUGUGUGUGUGUGUGUGUGUGUAUGUACAUAUAUACCACGUAUAUGGGUACACAUGGUAUAUAUGUACACACACACAUACCACACAUAUGUGUAUUCACAUAUUCUAAAGUCAGCAUUUGCCAGAACAAAAUGACCUUGAGACACAUUAUCUGAGUAAUGGUUCUUUUUGCUCUCUAACAUUGUCAACCUGAAGACUUUUGGAAAGUGAGCUGAGAAUGUGGCAAUGGCAGGAACCAUAUGCCUCACACAGGCAGGGGUGUGGGUUAGCCCACAUGGCUCACGGCUUUCAAGACCCAGCUCAUGUAUGAUCCAGGAAGGGAUUUAGGGCUAGCUCUCGUUUUUUGUUUUUCCUCAGCUGAUCUGAGGAGUUGAGUAUUUCAGAACUCUAUUAUAAAAAUGACUUUUAACAGGACAACAGACCCGACGUCACCUUGGCCGGGCGUUCUGUGCACCAUGCAAACUAGAAGUCGAAACCAGCACGAACUGUGCAGUGUUUAGGGCAGAUGCCACAGAAAGGGGAAGUAGUUAACUCAGGCACAUCUAGGUGUUUCUGGGUGGUGGUGAUCAGUUGAGGGUAAUGCUAGUGCAGAGAGUGCGGCAGUGGCGGAAUGGUGGCCACUAGGAGCUUGGUAGAAAAUACAGAAUGAUGAGCUAUUGGCCAGAACUGCAUUUUAAUAAUUGAUAGCCUUACCUAGGGAUCCACAGGAUGUGGACCAGGCUCCCCUUAUUCUCUAAGCCCAACUUUCAGGCUUGUUUCAUGGUGCUGUGAAUAACAAGCAGGGUCAUUUAAAUACCCUGUGGGGAGAGAAAGGCACGGAAUGGUGAGGAGAAUUUCUAUCUAUCAUUUUGUAAUUGGUUAGCUUUGUAAUGUAAAAUAAGAUAAUCUGGUGUCAGUUUUUGGUUUUUCUGUUUGGUUUUGUUGUGUGUGUGUGUCCCCCCCCACCCACCAUGGUGAUAUUUAUUCCUAUAAGGUUAUUUGUAGAUUGAAUGAAAUUAUAUGACAAAAAGAACUGUAUAUGUAUCAAAAAAUAAGUAGGGAGCUAUUUAUUCUUUUCGUUUGCUUUUUUUUUUUUUUUAAAUCAGGGUCUUAGCAAGUAGCUGAGGUUGGCCUUGAACUACUGUUUGUAUCUCCAGAGCGUUGGCAUUACAGGCUGUACCACCGAAAAAGAGCUGUUCAGUAUCUAAGCGUUUAUGCUUCUAUGUCACCUGCGCUUCCCCCAAGCAUACAGAUGACUGCGGCAAGGCAGUGGGCAUCUAGUGAGGAAAAGGCUUGAAGCAUGGAGCUCUCUCAGCAGGCGGCCUGACAGAGCAGUGACCUGAGAAUGGGAGUGCACACAAAGGGUGCCCAAUUGAGGAGUCUCAGGGAGGUUCCCUCAAGGUCAGAACAAAGGAGGGAAAAAUACACACACCUGUAUGAGGCAGACUCUGCCUUCCCUGGUUGUGGAAUUCAGAAUUGUUGUGGAAUGAAUUUAGAUUUUCAUGGUGUUGGUUUAAUUUUAACACACAUAUCUAUUUCAUCUGUAAAUCUCAAAUGAUUAGCAAUCCCUUCAGUGUUUUGAGGUCUGCUAAGAAAAGUUAUGGUUACACAGAUAAAGUGUGUGUGUGUGUGUUUUAGCAGAAUCUACCACUCUGCCUUGUAGUUGUUUAUCUUGUAACAACUCGAAGUCAUCUGAAAAGAGCUGAUAACUGCCUGAGUGUCUGAGCUGCGUCUCUGUCAAAGAGCAUUGGCACAAUUUAUGGCAGCCCAGCCCGGGAAGUGGAUGUAAAGGCCUGGAUGAUCUUUAAGAAGACACAGCCGCUAUGUUGAGCCUUAAAAGCCAUGGAUGAUUUGUAUAGAUGGACUUUUUUUUUUCUUUUUUAACAACAGUUACGGAUUGAGAUGACUCAAAGAACAUUGUAAGGAGAGAGUUGCAGUGUAGAGGUGCUGGUGGUUUGAAUGAAAAUGGUCCCCUCAGGGAAUGGCCCUAUUUGAAAAGAUUAAGAGGUAUAGCUUUGGAGGAAGUGUGUCACUGGGGUUAUGCUUUGAGGUUUCUAACUCUCAAGCCGGGCCUAGUGACUCUCUCUCUUCUUGCUACCUGUGGAUCUGAAUAUAGAACUCUCGGCUAUCUCUCCAUCACCAUGUCUUCCUGAGUGCUGCCAUUCUUCCUGCUAUGACAAUAAUGUGCUAAAUACUCUAAACUGUAAGCGGGACCCAGUUUUAAGAGUUGCUGUGCUCAGAGUGUCUCUUCAUAGCAACAGAACACUGAUUAAAACAAGGUAGAAAGCAUACUCUUGGACUGAGGGCUAAUUUAGGAAUGAAAGAGACUGGAUUUUUCAAUAUCAAACUAAGGACUUUGGACUUAAUCUGUUUGACAGUGGGCAAUAGUAAGUACUUGUGAUGUCUGCAGAAAACAUUCUAGAAGAAUAGUUGGACUUUCUUUCAUUAAGUUAGGUGUAAACAAGCCAAGAGGUAUUACUAUCUGACAGCCUUGAGAUCAUGUUUUAGAUCUCAGGAUUCCAUUGUGACCUAUACUUAUGAAAAUUACUCAGCACUAUCUUUUGCUCUUGGCAAAAUUCCCUCUCUUUUGUUCAACCCUUUGCCUUCAUUCUUUGUUUAUGAACAUAAGGGUUAGUAUUCACUAUUCUGAAGGUUCUUGGAACUGCUUGUGUGGUGCACAGUCCUAAUAAUCCUGUUGUCUGCUGCUCUUGGCAGAGCAGUGAGCUGCACUGUUGUUUUGAAGCAGCUACAGGUUCUAACAUGUGAGGGAGGAAUAUACCUGGUAAGGUGGGAAGGCUAGAGGUUCAUCUUCCUGCUCUAGACAGUUGCUUGACGAAGCUUUAUAAAUGCUGUGGGAUUAGAUGCCUUGAGUGUGGAGGUACCUGCAGCAUGGAUAAGCUUCCCCAGGAGGCUGUGUGGCGAGGACAGACAUGCAUCUCUUUUCUUCUCCAGCCACAGAAAGGGUCUCACAACAAAGGUUGAAGGAAGGAGAGCUGGUGGAGUCUUGUUUAAGGUGAGGAUAGCAUGAAGGAGGAGCUCUGGGGUUUGGGGUCUUAGUUCUCUCACCAGUCUGUGUGAAUAGACACCACCUUAUGGUGCUCAUUCAGCCAUGGUCCUCCUCACCUGAUGGUUAGAUGAGAUUACUUCCGGCAGCUCUUCUAGGUUCCGAGUCCCAUUACUAGUAAGUCCUUUCUCAAUGUUGUUUCCCUGGACUGAUUUACUGAGAAUGUUUGAAGGAUGUAGCCAGACUUGUGAGGAGCUGUGUUCUCAUCUUAGUAAUGGCUAAUGACUAUGCAGCGUGAAUGCUGGUCCUGGAGGUGUGCUGGCUUGUCAGCUAACCUUGACAGGUAUAUAAUGCCUUUCUGGUAACUCGGGUUGUGGAGUUCAGGCUUCUGAAUGGCUCAGGUCAGCGAGAAGGCCUCAGGUUACAUAUAUAAUGGCACAGAGUAAAUUCUAUUAGUGUCUCAGGCUCUGAAAGUGCUUUUGUUACUCAGAAAUUACUUUCAGAGCCAUUUAGUUGCUAAAAAGCAGAGUGGGAAAGGCUUGUCGAGAAUGUGAGGCUCUUUAACUUUUGCAGUUAAGAAAAUUAGGCUUGGGCCAGCAGUGGUGAUGCCCAUCUUUAACCCCAGCACAUAAGAAGGAGGUAAAAGCCAGCAGAGCUCUGUAGUUCAAGGUCAGUCUAGUCUGCACAGUGGGUUCCAAAGCAGGCAGGAAGGCAAGCACGCAGGAAGGCAAGCAGGCAGGAAGGCAAGCAGGCAGAUGGGCAGGCAGAUGACAGACAACAAGGCAUGGAGAAAAGAAGUAACCUGUCCACCUUGGUCGCAGAUUUCCUACCUGCCCAGCAUUUGUGGGACCUGUGCACAGGGCUGUUGUAGCCAUUAGUUGAAGGGAGCUGUGGGAAGUGUUCAGUCUACAACUUGAUUCUAAAUAAUUUGCAGUGCUGUUGUCUGUUGCUGUGAAUUCUAGCAUGCCUUUAAUACAUAGGUUGAACACAAAUUCCAGGUGUUCUGAAGGAAACCUGCAAAGGCCAAGGGUAAGGCCAAGAUCAGAGAGGAAGCCGUUCAGACCUCUGAGAAAGAGCACAGGACAAGAGGGAGUGAGCUGUGAAGGAAGUGGGCAGAGUGUCCCGGGCGAAGGCCCUGAAUUUAGAAAGAGCCGGGGUCCUGGUGCCGAAGGACUGGUCUCCUCGCUUAAGUUUUUAUUCCAAGGGAAGAAGGUGCAUCAAACCCCUGGCUGUGUUCCUCCCUCCUGCCACAGAAUUGGCUUCAUAUAAUGUUUAUAAACAACACUCACAUACCUAUUGCUUACCUAAGCAACAACAGCACCUUGAGAUGAGUACUUCUGCUUCCUUUAGACAGAAGUAGGCAACAUAUAGUAAGGCCUUUGAUUUGAUUUGGUUUGGUUUGGUUUGGUUUGGUUUGGUUUGGUUUGGUUUGGUUUGGGUGUGUUUUGAAAGACUCUCACAUAGCCCAGCUUGGCCUUGGACUCCCUGCAUAGCUGAGAAUAACCUUGAACUCCUGAUCCUCCGAAAUCCUGGGAUUACAGUCAUGGCUUGCUAUGCUUGGAUGUUCAUAUGGUACUUUAGAAAGUAAAACUUGAAAAUGUUAGCACACCUUUAUAAAGUAUAUUCAAGUAAUUUCAGAGCUGGAGAGUUGACAUUGUUGCCUGAGACAACACUCUGUCUUCACGCUGCCAGAGUCACUUGCCAGUCUUCCUACAUGCAGUAGGAAAAAAAAAAUGGAGCUGGAUGUCAUAGUAGCUAGUAGCACUUGCCGUUCUUGCAGAACCUAUGUCAAGGGGCUCAUAGUCACCUAUAAUUUCAACUCCUGGGGAUCUAUCUGGUAGUUUGUCUGGCCUCUGAGGGCAUCCACACUACACAUAUGUAAAUAAAAGAAAAACGCAUAUUUCUAAAAAUGACAGUUUGGAUUUCUUCAUUGCUUUUCCGAACAUUAAUUCCAGAGCCUGCUCUGUGUGUGCUUUUUAGUUAGAUAACUAAAUAAUUUACUGUAGUACUGGUCAGCGCUGGGGAUGGAGCGCAGGGCCUUGGUCAUGCAUUAAUAGACCUCCAUUGUUACGCUGUGUCCCCAUCCCUUUGUGUAACCCUAGCUGACCUUAGACUGCGUGUCCAGUCUUCUACUCAGAGUUUCUAGUGCUGGGAUUACAAGUGUUGUCACCUCACUGGGCUGACUAGCUCUGCAGAGCUGCUUUUCUUAGCAGAUUUCUGCUACAAUUCUCCUGAACUUAAUUAGUGUAUAGAAUCUGUUGCUGAUGCCAGUCCCUGUUAAUAGAGGGGGCACGAUACAUUCCAGUGACAGGCAUAGGCGUUUGGUGUUGUCACUCACCAACUGCUUUAGUUUCUUUACCCAGCUUCUUAAUCUCUAAAAUACUAUUUCACAAAAUUGCAGUUGUUUAAAGAACAGGUGAGCUGGAGAGGUGGCUCAGAGGUUAGGAACACUGGCUGUUCUUGCAGAUGCCCUGAAUUCAAUUCCUGACAACCACAUGGUGGCUCACAACCAUCUGUAAUGGGAUCCGAUGCCCUCUUCUGGUGUGUCUGAAGACAGUGACAGUAUACUCAUGUACAUAAAAUAAAUAAGUCCCCUAAAAGAAAGAAAGAACAUGUAAUUAUGGCCUCUCUUAUUUAUCUCUAUGGAAAAGCUUUCAGGAAAACAUUGAUUUAUCAGAAUAAAAGUCUUUCUUGGUUCUAGAUUUUUACAGUUGACUUGAAAGUAGCCUGCUUUGCACUAACAGGGCAUUAGCAAAUCCCAGAACACAACUCUGAGGAAGCAAAGGAAGCCCAUGUGCAUCCGAGCACACGUUUUAUAUAAUGGUGCUAAGAUUAACCACAUGUAGGGUAUUAAAAUGGAUUCCUAUAGCUGAUCUUAAUGCUUAUUAAUAUGUGACUAAUGUAUGUGGCAGAUAUUAUUAGACAAAGUGUUUGUCCAGUAGCUUAGAUUAAAAUAACCCCUGUUCUAGCUCAUUUUAAACAAUGUAGUAUGAAUGGUGCCAAAAGAACCAACUAGAACAUUUUCUUCUCUCCAAGAGCUUAGGUUUUGUAAACAAGGCUCUGGAGAUGUUCUGCGAGUCUCUGCUUCUGCAGCCCAUCUAGGUCAUUGUAACCCAGAGGGCACAGAUGAGGGUGCCAAUUCAGUCUCUUUGGGUCUUAUUAUGAUUUAUAUAAAAAUGUGUUUGGCUCUUAAUAACAAAGUACUUUGGGGGCUCUUUGGCCACCCAAACCAUCUCAGCAAACACAAACAUCUUCUUCAGCAUCUACAUGGGGGAGGAACUAUAAUUCUCUUUAAUUUUCAAAAAGGCUUAGCCAUUUUUAUAACUGUUAAUUGUUACAUUUUAACUAUCUUGUCUUUCUUGCAACUUAAUUAUUAAGAUCUUAAAUGUGACACUGUUUAAGACAUAUAAAAAAUUAAGAAUAGAAACUGUUGGUAGUCAAGAUCAGCUCCAUCCUUUUGUUAUUUAUCUGUGUUAUCUGCCGUGUGUGUGUGUGUGUGUGUGUGUGUGUGUGUGUCUGUCUGUCUGUCUGUCUAUCUGUGUAUGUGUGCACAUGAAACACACACGUGUGGGGAGGUGUUGGAGGAAGGCAGGCCUCUGGAUUCUUUUAUUAUAGCAUGGAUCUCAUGUAUCCAAAGGUAAAGAAACUUAAAAUACUUUGUUCUGGGAAUCCAGCCAAGGGCAUUGUACAAUCACUGACUACUACAGAGCUGUGUGUCCUUGCCCAGGAAGAGACUUCCAUUCUUUUGGUUUUUUUGUUGUUGUUUGUUUUUCGAGACAAGGUUUCUCUGUGUAGCCCUGGCUGUUCUGGAACUCACUUUGUAGACCAAGCUGGCCUCAAACUCAGAAAUCUGCCUGCCUCUGCCUCCCAAGUGCUGGGAUUAAAGGCGUGCGCCACCACCGCCCCGCGAGACUUCCAUUCUUGAAUUGCUUGAAAGACAAGUACUAGACUAGGUGGUUUGUGGCAUUAGAGAAACCACUAUUCCUACUUUGUAAAUAAAUGAGUACAGGUAGAUUCGCUAGGACAGCGUUUAAGUGGCAACAUUCCAAAUCCUGAGAGCCCCUGUCCUAAGUGAUCUUUCCAAGAGGAGUUUGUUUGAAGGUGUCAGCAUUUCUGUACUGGGCUGCUCUCAGCCGUCCACUGUGGGAAGUUCUAGUCUAGUUGGAUAGCACCUUGCAGCUCUUACACUUUUGUCUUACCUGCCCUUCACCGUGCACUCUUGGAGCAUCUGGAAGCCACACUUAAUUCACAGGCCCACUGGCGGCUGAGUUUAAGUCCUGCAUCUCAGCUCUCAUUCUUGCUGGCCUCACUUCUCUUGGGUUGAGUGAGUGAUCUGUGUCAAGAAGCGGCAAGGGUCUCCAGCUCUAGCCUUUUGUUGUCUACCUCAUGGUCUUGCUGUAGCUACAUCAGGCUCCCUGCCUCCCUGUGGCAAGAAUGGGGUUUUAAAGAUAGAUGUUGGUUUGUUUUUGUUUUGUAUUUAUCCCCCCUUUUGCCCUGGUCCUGGCAUGACCUGGGAGCAUUCUGCUGCUGAGAUGCAUCCAGCAUUGCUGUGGAGUGGGCUGUGGUGCUAAGUCCUGAUUAACAGAUAGAAAAAAACAGUGUGGGCUUUCUGUGUUUAAAUAUUAUUCUUAUGUGAGGCUAUAUUUGUCUUAUGGAUGGAGAUGUAUGUAUGUAUGUAUGUAUGUAUGUAUGUAUGUAUGUAUGAGAUAUAUGAGAAACAGGCCUCUUAUCCUACCUGUUUACCAUGCUGAGACAAGAGGAGGCCAAGUUCAAGGUCUGCCUGUGUGCUACAUGUAUACAGAAUUCAGGGUCAGGGUAGACAACAUUAUGAGACCCUGUCUAAAAAUAAACAAGUAAAAAGAGAGCCAAGCAGGUAUGGUGCUGAGUAACUGUAAUUUCAGCACGUGUGAGACUGAGGCCAGAGGGUCACUGAAAGCUUGAAAGCUCAAGGUACCACAAGUGAGUCUGAGCCUAGCCAGUAUUACAUAGCAAAAUUCUGUGUUAGAUAAGGGGGGGGGGGCGGGCGGAGAACAAACAAACUGUAGAUUCAGUUCAGUCCCCUCUGACUGACUGACUGUCUGUCUGUCUCUCCCUCCCUUAUACACAGCUUCUGGUCAGGGCAGCUAUGUUUACGCUUCUAUGUUAGAUACAGGAAGAACUACAUUUGAACCCUAGCUCUCUGUCCACCUGACUCUGGUUACUUAGGCAGGUAGCAAGCCAGUUUUCUCCGGUGUUGGGCAACAACUGCCCUGGGGUGAGAGGAGGUGUGUAUGUAACCAAUUGGGUGGUAGUCCCUAUAUAGUGGUUCCCUACUAUGUAUGUAUACAUGAUAGGUACCUACUGAACAUACCGGCAUUGCCUAACAGGUACCUCUGGAAGGCCCUUUCUGUUCAGGAAGUACCAAAGCUUGCAUCUAAAGAGUCUUGGGAGUUAUUUCUGCCAGCAGGAAGCGUAAAUAAUCUAAAACAGUUGGCUUUUGAAGUUCUUGCGUUUUCUAUUUGGAAUAAAUACAUUGUUUUAAAAGAAACAUUAUAAAAGAUGUGCUUUCCUGUCCGUCUCCUUGCAUUGGAAUCAUAGAAGUAACUUCCUGAACUAGACCAUGUACAGUGCAUACUGAUGGGGGGCGGGGGCAGAGACCCAAGGACAGCAGCCAGUCCUGUGUGUGUCUCUGCUCUUGGCUUCUGGUUGAUGCUGUGCCACUGUCUCAUAGCUGUCACAGAUUUGUUUAUUAAAAUUAGCAACUGAAGGAAAAGCAAGACUCCUUCAGAAGAAGGUAAGGCUCUGUUCACAGUGGCCUGGAAACAGUGCAGCACAGGGGAAGCAGUUUGCUAAAUAGACUUCCGGGUUAUUUUCAUUUUUCAAGGUGGUAUAUUUCUUGGAAAUGGUUAUUAAUUUAUAGUUAUUAUGACUAAAUAAAUAUAAUAUAUUUUCUAUGAGUUCUCUCCUUUUUUGUUUAGAAUGUAUGUAUGUAUGUAUGUAUGUAUGAAUUUUUGUGUUUUUUUUUUCGAGACAGCGUUUCUUUAUGUAGUUCUGACUGUCAUAGAACUCACUCUGUAGACCAGGUUGGCCUCAAACUCAGAGAUCCUUCUCCUGCCUCCAAAGGGCUUUACUGGGUAGUUUUUUGUUUUGUUUUGUUUUAAACAGAGUCUCAUAAUGUAGCCUAAGCUGGCCUCAAAAUCUGAUUCUUCCUUCCCCAGCCUCCUCAGUGUCCACUACACCGGGUUUAGGAGUUCUUUCUUUACGUUGUUGAUCCAUACUAUAGUGGAAGUAAGCACGCAGUAGCACUAGCCAGUAAUUGCAUUGUGGCAGCCGUAACUGAAGGGAGCUGUCCCCAGUCCACCUAGGAGUUACUAGUAUUGUUUUAUUGUCAAGGCAGAGAGUCUCAUUGACCCAAGAUAACCUGGAUAUUGUAAUCCUCCUGCCUCAGCCUCUGGCAUGCUAAGAUUAUAGUUGUGUUCUACCAUGCUCAGCUGGGUUUUAUGUGGUUCUUUUAUUUUUUUUUUUUUUGAAAGAUAGGAAAGAGUUAAUUUUGAAAUAAAAAUUUAUUAAUCCAGAUUUUUAAUGCCUUUCCCCUUAGAUGAGCCAGUUUUCUUAUUUGAGCAGUGAAAAUAAUACCUCUAUUCAUUUGUGUUUUAUUCAUCUCCAGUAGUUUUGGAAUAAAAUUAAAUUACGUGGGAUUUAAUUGGGCAUGUUGCUGGGUGAGCAGUUGUAACACAGAUGUGACACUGCCAUUUGAAGGGCAUGCAGUGUGGCGGAGGGGACCCCUUAAAACAGUCGUUUGUCAGCAGCUGUUUACAGUCCGACUCCAGCACUCAGAAGGGUCCUGAGACUAGCCUUGCAUUUGGACGGUUUAAAGAGAAGGAAGCUUACGUUGCUUAGCUUCUAUCUCUUACAUGCUAGUAAAUCGAAGAUUCAUGGCGUGGUCUGCCCUUAGAGCCCUGCGUUCUCUUCUGUAGCAUUGCUGAGUUACCUGUGUCAUGGGCUCACUGUGUCCCCAAGCAUACCUCUCUGUCUUGUCCCCAGGAGAUGAGCCAGUGAGAGGGUUACAUUAGCUCUUGGGUUGUGUUGACUUUUAUGUUACAAACCCCUGGGGUCUGGCUGCUUCCUUGGGGUAGUAAUCUUGUGGAUUCUGGGGCUGCCAUGAAACUGCUGUGCUGUUUGUAACCUCUCAUGUAAAAAUAGCCCCGCGGUGCUCCUGCUGCGCUUAGUGGCCAGGAUUUCCAUCGCGCCGAGCUCCCCCCACCCAGGACACUUGAUAAACAAAGCUCUGAGUAAGGAGCAGAUUGCAGCGGCCGCUCUGCAGGCCUCUCAGCUGCCACCAAGAGCUCCCAUGAAAAGGUUCCAUCGCUUUAACAUGCAGAGCCCCGUGCUCUGGCUGAUGCUCAGAAAAGCAUUUCCGAGUGAGAGUUUGUGAUCCUUCCUGUCUGUCCCUUAAUACCUGAAUUGAGUCUCCCAGGCAGCUUAGAGGGUUUUGGGUAUGGCUUAGUGACAGAGUGAUUGCUUGGCAAACAUAAGGCCCUAGGUUCAAUGACCAAUAGCACUAAAAAAAAAAAAAAAACAAAAACAAAAACAAAAACCCCAAAACCCUAAACAGCUUUCCAAGCUGGAGAGGUGGGUUUGCUGCUGUUGUUCACAGAGGUGAUGUGGACUAGCAAAUGUGAAACCUCAAUGAUUUCAGUGCCUUCCCACAGCCAGGUAACUUUAAGAUAAAAGUAAAUGAAUUUAGGUUGUGUGUCUUGUUCCAUGCAACAAGAGACCUUAGGGUAGAAAUUUGUACCUCUGCCCUAUACUGUCAGGGUUCACUGGGCAGCUUGUGGCUUUUCCCUUUCGAAUCUUACACUUUGACCACUUAACCUGUUCUUGCCUCUUAGAGGCACUGGGACUCACUGCCUGCCUGCCGGUCAGUACCUCUCUAAAGAUGCCUUCCAAGCAGUGUGCUGCUGGACUUCAUAGUACGUCAGUCCGUGCUGUGUUCACGUGGUUAUAGAUUUCUGGGUUUGCAUGCUGUUUGAGGGUUUCACUCGGGUGAGAACCUGAUUCACUUGAAAUGGGAGGUAAUGAGUGUUUCCCCUUACUUCCCUGCUUUGUCCCGGCUUUUAUGUGCAACGCUAACAGAGAUCAAUUUUAUCUUACACACUUCUGGUCUUUUAAGAGUGAUUAGAAGUACACGUGUUGGGGCCCCGUGUUGGAAGUCUUGGUCAUUGUCAGCUCACUGUUCUUUCCUUUCAAGUUGCCUAAACACAGCUGAGUUCUUAAGAGGAGCAAAGAAAACAUGACAGUGCUGCCAAGUAGACAGGAAGCCGAGCGAGCUAGCCGACCCAGGAGUGAGGCUGAGCACAGCCCCGCGUCCAAUCAGCUGAGUGCACUGUUGCUAUGUGCGCCCUACUCUCUGCCUUUGUGAGAAGCCUGCACGGGGAAGCGCAGCACCCAGCGCUUGCUCCACUCGCUCGCUCUCUCCUCUCCCGUGCUUUCCCUCCGCGGCUGACAGGGUAGCAGCUGACAGCCGGAGGCUUCCAGUAUGGUUUUCAGUGGGAACAAAGGGCUCCGCAGACAAGAUGCCUUGGAUGAGUAUUUUGAAUAUGACGCAGAGGAGUUCUUGGUCUCUUUGGCCUUGCUGAUAACUGAAGGACGAACCCCGGAGUGCUCUGUGAAAGGCCGUGCAGAGAGUUUCCACUGCCCUCCAGCGCAGUCUCGCUUCCCAGGAACGGCCAGACAUGAAUGCAGCGACAAGCUGGCCCAGUGUCGCCAAGCCAGACGAACCAGAUCUGAGGUCACACUGUUGUGGAAAAAUAAUCUCCCAAUCAUGGUGGAGGUGAUGCUCCUGCCGGAUUGCUGCUACAGUGACGAGGGGCCUAGUACAGAGGGGGCAGAUCUGAAUGAUCCCGCCAUUAAGCAAGACGCACUGUUACUGGAGAGGUGGAUCUUGGAGCCAGUUCCCCGACAGAAUGGUGACCGCUUCAUCGAAGAGAAGGCACUUCUGCUGGCUGUCAGAUCAUUUGUGUUUUUUUCUCAGUUAAGUGCUUGGCUGAGUGUUUCUCAUGGUGCUAUUCCACGAAACAUUCUUUACAGAAUCAGUGCUGCGGAUGUCGACCUGCAGUGGAGUUUUUCACAGACUCCAACUGAGCAUGUGUUUCCCGUCCCCAAUGUCUCUCACAAUGUGGCCUUGAAAGUCAGCGUUCAGUCCUUACCCAGACAAGCUCAUUAUCCGGUUUUGACCUGUAGUAUUCAUACUAACAUUGGUCUGUAUGAGAAGAGAAUUCAAGAACAGGAGCUUAGAGCCUGUCAGCACCAUGGCCCUGGUGAGGUGGAGUACCGUUGUCCCAGCAGCUCACAGAGCCUAUGCAGCAAGCACACAUGGACCAUGGCACCCGUGAGUGCCCUGCACGUCAGAAGUGGCAUGCCUCCCGAGUACACUGCAGCCAUUAGAAAUGUCAGGCUCUGCCCAGGCACAGGCAGCAAGUCUGACCAGGGGGCACCUCAAGCCAGUGUCCUGGGCUUCAGUGGCACUGGGGGAGAAGUGAGGUCACAGGAGGCGUCAGUGAGAACGUUCAAAUCACUGCCUGUGGUCGAUUCCAGUGUCUCCAGCUGUCAGAGCUCUCGGCAGCCAGUAGGGGAACCUAACCCUUUAAUGGACUCCUUGAUUCAGGAUCGACAAGAAGUCAUUGCCAGGAUUGCUCAGCACUUGAUUCACUGUGACCCCAGCUCCUCUAGAAUGUCUGAACUCCCCUUUAACACCCAGGAGUCCACGUCACUUAGCCCAAAGCUUCACCCAGUUUCACAGGAAAGUGGGUGUGUGAGGAGAUAUAAAGAAGCAUUCUCUGUCUCCUUUGGGAGUCCAGAGUUUGGCUCCCCAGGAGACAGCAGGGAGGGGAAAGUCAGAGAGAAGUCAGAAACCAGGCCAGGAGAAACUUGCACUUCUCACAGUCUGUACCCUCGCCAGCCUGCUGGGGAGGCGAACCCACUGAUUGGCUCUUUACUCCAGGAGCGGCAGGACGUCAUAGCCAGGAUUGCACAGCACCUAGAACACAUCGACCCCGCAGCUCACAUUCCCCGGCCUGCAUUCAGCAAGCACGACUCCAAUUCCAUUCCUUCUAAAGUGUUCAGGAGUUCAUUUGAUGACAAAACCUUGUUGAAGAAGGGCAGAGAGAAUGUCUCUGUCUCUGUGUCUCAUACAGAAGUGUCCUUAUUGGGAGACAGAGGUGAUGGGGAAAGCCUCAAACCUAGUAAAUGCUUGCGAUCUUUCAAAUACAGCCCUCAAGAAAAGCCUUUGAAACCUGAAGUAAGAACUCAGCAUCAGAACCAUCCUGAUAGCAUCACCCCCACAGCCAGGCAGGAGCUGCUGAACAAGGCUGCUGGCUUACUAACUUCCUCUAACACAGCUCUCUGCAAAGAAAGCAGCUUGGGUUUGGUUAGCAGAUUGGAAAGUACAUCUUGUAAAUUACAACUUAAGGAGCAAGAAAUGAGCCAUGAAACUGAGAAACAGUGUUUGCAUUGCAACAGUAUUGACAAACAGAUUUGCACAAAUACAUGUACGGAGAAAAUCAACGACGAGCAUAGUCCAGGAUCUCUCCGUCAUCUCCAGUGUGAUGAUUCAAAAGGUAUUGACUCAAAACUAAAAGUGACUCUGCUGGAAAUGCCUGACAGUUUGAACAAGAACAAAACUAAUUGUUCAAGUAAAGACUCCAAAAGAUCCAAGACGUGUGAGCAAAGCAUUCGGGUUGGCACAGAAAAUGACCUCAGUGAAGAGAAUGAGGGUCCCGGAAGCACUGUAUCAGACCGACUCAAAACUGAGCAGGAGGCAAAAAGGGACUCAGGUGCUGGAAAACCUCACAGCGUAAAGCACUGUUUGUCUGCAGGCGAGAGGCUGCACAGCGCAGACAUGUUGAGGACUACACUGAAACAUUCAAGUGUCUGGAGGAAACAUAAUUUUCAUUCCUUGGAUGGGACAUCAACCAGAGCCUUUCAUCCUCAGACGGGGCUGCCUCUCCUCUCAAGUCCAGUUCCUCAAAGAAAAACACAGUCAGGCUGCUUUGAUCUAGACGCGUCGCUGCUGCAUCUGAGAAGCCUAUCCUCCAAAAGCUCUCGGCCAUGCCUGAAUAUUGACGAGGACCCAGAUGUUCAUGAAAAACCUUUUUUGAGUUCAAGUGCUCCACCAAUCACAAGUCUUAGUCUCCUAGGAAAUUUUGAGGAAUCGGUUCUGAACUACCGUUUAGACCCCCUCGGCAUAGUCGAUGGCUUUACGGCCGAGGUGGGAGCCAGUGGGACUUUCUGCCCAACGCACUUGACUCUGCCAGUGGAAGUGUCGUUCUACAGUGUUUCCGAUGAUAAUGCUCCCUCGCCUUACAUGGCAAGUACUUUUGUCUUUUCUGCAAGAAUCAGCCAGCUUAGUAUUUCACAUCUCGGUUUCCGUUUUGCCCUUGAAUGUAUGAGGCUGUUCCUAAGAGAAAGUUUUAAAAACUGAAUACAGACCAGUAAGCCAAAAUACUGCUCCAAGACCUUUUCCUCAGCUGGCUCAGACUACAUACCGGUGACCUGCUUUGCACUUGAAAAGGUUGCUGAAAUUUUACCCAUUUUUACGUAACUGACUAGUGACUGACAUAAUCAGUCUAUCUUGCUAAGUUCACACAAAUUCCCCAGGGCUUACUGUAUACUCUUAAUACCAAAUGGCUGCCUCCUCACGUGGUUCUUAUGUCAGUCAGACUUGGUAAGAUCUGGGGACUUGGGGCGGCCUGAGGCCCCUCCACCCCAGUGUCUCUCUCAGUGGAGAGCAGGAGAGCUUCUGAGAGUGAGAAGACAGUCUUGAGCUUGAGGUCUUGUAAGUUUGAGGUUCCCAUUUUCUACUGCAGGGGAGUCUGGGUGAUACAAGCCUUAGCCUGCGGAAGUGCCUCUGAACACUGGAGUAUGUAUAAACACACCUUCAAAAUGCAAAGGAGCGGUCUGUAGUGACGCUGUAAAGUGCAGAGUCACAGUCAGCCUCACUGUGAGAAGCAGAUGCACACAGGCCUAGACCUGCAUCCCUGACUUAGCACCUGCCCAAUGGCUUCCUUUCUCCUGCCUUCAGGCAUUCUAAGAACAUUAGUGACAAUGUCUUUUGUUAAGAAUAAAAGCUGUGAAAAGGGAUUUCUGCAUACCUGACAGGAUGAGGAGCUGUACUUUCUAGGGAGUUAAAUAUGGCCACCUCAAUGGUGUCCUGGUUUGUCAAAGGGACUAGUUUAGGUUAACUCCAGUUUUAAGGUGAAGUUUUGGUUCAGGGCCUGAGUAGUGUUUCAUACUUUUGGUAGACAAGCAUAGUCUAAUGGGAACUUUGAAAGGAAAGGGUUAACUCAGCCUACUAAAUUGUUAGGUUCUCCUGGGAACUCUGAAAGGAUACUGGAAAGGGAUAACUCAGCCUACUGAAUUGUUAGGUUCUCCUUCUAAGGAGGCCUGCCUUAGUGGCGUUGAGGCUAGCCUGGGCUAUGUAGUAAGUUCUGGAAGCGCCUUGUCUACAGAGGAUAUUCUUAUCUCAAAAACCAAAAACAACUAUCAAUGCCUGCCUGCCUUUUCCAUUACAAUGAUCUUCCCUCUAUCAUAUUUUCCCCUACGUCUGUUUAUUUAGUAGGAAUGGGUUCUCUUUGCUAGUGGCUCACUCCAAACCUCACACCGCAAAUCUUUCCUAAAAUUUGUUCUAUUUUGUUGGUUUAGUCUGAUUUCAAAGGACUGACCAUAUUUUGUUAGCUGGGACCGAUUGUUUUGUUAGAUCAAGCACAUCAUAGACCAUCAGAAGUAAUGCACCUUUGUGGUACCUAAUACAUUUUAGAACAGAAAAUUCUUUGUGCUGGGAUUUUGUAUCGAACAAUUCUUGAAAAAUUAAUUCUUCGUUUUGGAGUCAGCAGUAAGAAUGUUCUCCAAGAACCACACCACAGCACUCAGCUACACAGGAACUGUGUCUCAGAGAAAACAGCUGUCAUGGUGGUGAGGUCAGGCUAGGCCUGUUAUGGGCUCAUGACUGGCUAGGAGUGGUUUCCUGCUGUUUGUAAUUAGUCAAAUCGAGGCCUGCUGGUUUUAGUUUUCCAUCUACUAUUCCAUACUAGUUUUCGUUGUUGUUAGUUUUAUUUUUUGACAUGGGGUCCAUGUCAGCCAGUCUGACUGAACUCACAAUCUUUCUGCCUGUACAUAUCAAGUGCUGGGAUUACUGGAGUGUCACUGUACCCAGACAUUCACAUUCUUUAUCAUCUAAUAAUUUGGGGAUUUUUUGGUGUUAGGAUUCUGCCAAAUUUAGUUCAUCUUUACCUUACUAUUACAAAUAUGCCAGAGGAGAUGUUUCAUUACAUUAAACGUAGUUUUCUUAGGUACAGAUAUGGAUAUGCUGGCCCAUGAAGUGAAUUGAGUAAUAUUAAUCAAAUCCCAGCUUUCCAGUGCCACUACUGGUCUUAGAUUAUUUAGAAAUUGUUGUUUGGAAGCUGAAGAGAAGGCUCAAAGAGUAUUUGCUACUCUUCCAGAGGACUCAAGUGCCCCGUGCCACCUGUGCCCAGCACCCACACUGGGCAGAUCACAACACUCUAUGAUUCUAGUUCCAGGGGAUCCAGUGCCCUCUCUUAGCCUCCAAGGGCACUUAUAGUCAGAUUCAAAUACCCACACAAACACACACAUAGUUUAAAGGAAGAAAAAAGUGAUUAUACUGGAGUGCUGCCCUAAACUUAAAAGUCCUUUCAAAACUCUUCAGUCACUGUGAACUUAAUCACUAUUAUCAUUAUGAUCUAAAAGCUCUCAGAAUUGUACAUUAGAGAAAGAAACAGCCACAGUCAUAGUUGCCAUCGUCCUGACUCUCUCUUCUUUGUAUGGGAAGGAGGUUGGGGGGAAAGGCAAUAACUCCUGGCCCUACCAGUGCGAUUAUAAAAUAGCUAUCACUUUGAUAUGCUCUGCUUGUUCUUUCUGGAUUCAGAAAGGAGUGUGUUUUUCAUGUACCUGUGCACACUGCGUCUACUUGAGAAGUGGUGUGCAUAUGCCUCAGUGAAUACUCUGAGCACGCUGUGAGGAAUUACUGCUGCAUUGCCAAGGUAUAAGGCUAACUAACGUCCAUGCUCUGUGUGUGAAGUUAGGAUCGUGUGUUAAAACAGGGCUCUCUCGCCACCUUGGUCCAUUGCUUUUUACCUCCCAGCCCAGGUCCCAUGUCACCUAGUGCAGCAGUCCUGUGUUACACUUACCUGGAGAUUCCUGUUUAUGAUAUGUGAUAAUGGAGUCAUGAGUCCACACUUACUCUACUUAACUGCUGUAACUACUGGGAGGAAAGAAUCCCUCAAGAAAGUAGACGUGGACAGCAUCCGCAAGCACCAUCUGUGGCCACGCCCUCACCCUGGUUAUUGGGAAGCUUUCUGCACAUCCAACUGACUUACUUUUUUUCACAUUUAUACUUUCUUCCCCAUUGUUUGGACUUUGCAGAAAAGCUGCUGCUUGUACUUAAGGUUUUCUUAAACUUUGCUGUACAAAUGAUAUCAUCAGGGAAGUCCUGUGGUUGAAAGGCAGAAUCUAUUUGCUAGAUCUGGAGAGUGGCCAGGCAGACUGAUCUAACAGAAUCAUGAGUGUGUGUGCUGCUGCUGUUGUGACCACCCCUCUGAGUACUAGACUAAGUAGAGGACCUUCAGCAUCUCUUUUAGGUUUAGCUAGUGAGAUGACUACAGUUGACCUCUCCCCAGAGCUCAGCUCUUAGACCUUCAAGCUAGUGUUGCUCUGGUUUAGAGCCAAUUCUAAGUCUAAGAUUCCUUACCAAGUAAACAGCUAAAAGGCAAUACCCCUGGGUGUGGUCGAUCACAGCUGUGAUCCCAACAUUUGAGAGGCUAAGGCAGGGGGAUUUUCAUGAGUUCCAGCCCAGUCUUGGCUGCAUAGCAAGGCUCUGUGUAGACAAAGAACUAGAGGAAAUAGAAAUAAUUUGGGUAUGAUGAUACUGCUGUGUAAUCCCAGCACUUGAGAAGCGGAAGCUUCAAGCAGUAGACGUUCAAGGCCACUGUUGGCAACAUAGUAAGUUUGUAUCCGGCCUGAAUACAUAAGACUUUGUGUGGAAAAAAAAAUGGAAAAAUAUAAAAUAAAAAAAAAUAUUCAAACAGCACCUUAAAAAGAUCCAGAUUCCGACACAGCUGCUUCGGUAGCAGCUGUCCCUCCCGGAAAACCGCUGUACGGCUGCUUUUUGCAGAGCAGGCAGCUUGGUGGUAAACCUUCAUUUUUCAUACUUGCUUUGAACAUCCUUCUGCUAGAAAUUCAUCAGGCUGGAACCCAGAUUUCCAACCCCACUUAGUUGCUGUCUUAAUUCUUUUCUUCUGUCUUUCAUCAGAAAUUCAGAUGUGUAAGUUGACUCACUAACUGAAGAAUUCCUUCAUUUGGGGCCCCAAAUUAGACAUACUGGUUACUUUCCCAUACUCCAUGAUCAAUCAUUUCUUUGCUUCUUCAUGCCCCCUCCCUCAUUAGAUAACAGAACUAGUCUAUAGCCCUGCUUUAUUUAUUUGCUUAUGGCUAGGAAACAUGACCCUUGCUCUGUGUCUCAGUGGGCAAUUCCAAGCAGAGUGGCCGUAAUGCUGUAAUGCUGUAUGCUGCUUGUUGCAACAUGUCCAGGAAGAGCAGCAGCAAAUGGUUUCUUUAGAAGGGGGAGUCCCACAGCUUCAUACUCGCAGAAUGUAGCUCUUAAUGCAAUCUGAAUGUUUUUCCUUAGAAAUAGGUUACUGAAUUGUACUAUAAACAUGUACAAUUUUAUAUUUUUUUCGUCUGUUAUCUAUGUAUGCACUCAAUUUGUCUUCUUUUGUUUCAAGGGUGUGAUUACUUUAGAGUCCCUUGGUAAAAGGGGUUAUCGAGUACCUCCUUCAGGAACGAUACAAGUGGUAUGUGUUUUAUAGCCUACAAUUGCAAUAAUCAUUCUCUCACACAUAUAGAACUUAGCCCUUUCUCCUGCUACUGCUGCUGCAACAACCUUGACCUUAUUCAAUCCCAAUAAGACUGUGGUGAAGAUGUUUGUAGUCGUGUAUGACCUACGAGGUAUGCCAGCCAAUCACCAGACAUUCCUGAGACAGAGGACGUUCUCAGUUCCUGUUAAACAAGAGAUGAAGAGAAGUAUUAACAAAGAGAACGUCCAGCACACGGCACAGUUACUACGCUACCUCAUACACCUGAGGUUCCAGAGUUCUAAAUCUGGAAAGAUCUACCUCCAUAGAGAUGUCCGGCUCCUGUUCUCUAGAAAGUCCAUGGAGGUCGAUAGCGGUGCUGCGUAUGAACUCAAAUCCUACACUGAGUCGCCAACAAACCCUCAGUUUUCACCAAGAUGUUGAUGAGGGGGACAACUUAAAAGUAUUUGCUCAGUACCCAAGCCUGAACAUGAGCAUUCACAGAAUGGAAUACAUCGAACGAGAGCCAGCGGAGCAGAGUGGCCCUCCUCUGUUGUCCUGGACCAGAUUUUAUUAAAGGACCCCUGAAGUGAGACCCGUGAUUCCUAAGUGGACUGGAAGCACCCGUGUCGUCGCCCUUUUUGUACUGUUGAAACCACUUCAUUGGACAGUUGCAAUAGCAAAAUCCCCAGUUAGAUUAGUGUUUACACAUUUUAUUUCUGUUAUUUAAUAUUUAAUGUUUUCCUUUAUAGUCAAGUGAUGUUUGUCUCUAGUGUUCUAAUGUAGCACAAUCCUAUGUAAAAUCAUACUAUGUAUUUUUGACAUUAUUGUUGAAAUUGAAAUAUAUGCAUAAGUCUUUAAUUUUGUGUGGUGUGUUUUAAGUGCUAUUCAUUUAAGCUACUGAAAAUGAAAAUGAAAUGUUGGGCUUCUUUAAGAUUAAUGCACUAUGCAAGCAUGUAUGCUUUUUAUAUCUCUCCAGGUUAGGUUUUAUAGCACUCGCCCAGGGUCUGUCCCCAGGGGGUCCGACAAAGCUGCUCCCAUCCUCCUGGCAAGCGCUGAGCUACCUGCCCAUUCUCAUUCCUUCUAAGGUCCAAAACAUUCUAUUUUCCCUGAAUCACUACUGUAGAGGUUUUACUUUAAAUUGCUGUCCCAUGCUAGAUAAUUUUCUCACACUGUUAAAAAGAAUAUGUACUUUGAAAAGAUUAAUAUUUAUAUUGUAAAUAUAUGCAAAAAACUAAAA